rnacentral:rRNA from 1 species
UACGUAGGUGGCAAGCGUUGUCCGGAUUUAUUGGGUUUAAAGGGUGCGUAGGCGGUUUUUUAAGUCAGUGGUGAAAUACGGCAGCUCAACUGUCGAGGUGCCAUUGAUACUGGGAAACUUGAGUACUGAUGAGGUAGGCGGAAUGGACGGUGUAGCGGUGAAAUGCUUAGAUAUCGUCCAGAACACCAAUAGCGAAGGCAGCUUACUAAGGAGUAACUGACGCUGAGGCACGAAAGUGUGGGGAUCAAACAGG